UUGAGUCGGGUCGAAACCAGCUUCAAUCCAUCCUCACUCGAACCUCUAUCCAUUCGGGGGCUAAUGAUGAUGACAUGUACCUAGGGUAGGGUCCUAGACAUGACCUACAUGCCCUACCCAAGGACACUACACAAGAGGCCAAGUCCUACAAAGUUAGAAAGGAGAUACCGAUUGAAAUCACCACAGAGUGCAACUUACUCGACAGAAGAUCCACUCGGGUAUCCCACUUCCACUCGACUGUCGUUAUUCACUCGGAGUACAAGAUUUCACUCGAAGGACAGAAGACCUAGAGCCACCCCAGGAUGGCAACGGUCGGGCAAUCACUUCGUCACCGUAAAGACCAGUAAACACGGGCGUUUCCAGUGACGUUCAUGCCUUUAUUCUCUCGUUAGACCCUUGCGUAACUGAGGACAGCGAGGGGUCAACGGACUGUAUAUAAGCCACCCCUCCCCUCUUGCACAAGGGUUCGCACCCCUUGUAACUCAACACUCCAAUAGAAACAAAGCCUCCGCGGCACCGAGACGUAGGGCUGUUACCUCCUCCGAGAGGGGCCUGAACUCGUAAAUCCGAGUGUACAAUCUCGUCGUAGCUAGGCUCUGCCCUCUCCUACAUACCCCCUACCUCUACUAUCAGAUCCGUUCCCACGACAGUGGUCUCAUCAUUCUGGGAGAGAAGCUACCUGGGAGCGAGAAGAUCGCCUUCGAUUGGAGUACCCCACUCUCGUUCCAACGCCUCCUGAAUCUCGGGACGAGAUUCUUUCGAGUGGGGGCGAGUUGUCACAUCCCUAGUUCUUGUAAUGUCCAGUGCUAGCAUCUGGUGUUGCAUCAUGUUUAAAUUUCAAUCAAACAUGAAAUGGGGAAUGGGCAAACCCUAGCACCUCUUUAAUCUUCAUAGGUUCAAAUAAAAAUAUUUACAAAGAACCCAAAAUGCCUUCCAGAAAAUUUCAUGAUUUUUGAUAAAGGUGAAAACCUCUUCCAAAAAUGAUGAAUGUAUUUCUAGGUCAUUUUUUAUUUUUGAAUUAACACAAAAGUAUUUGAAUUAGAGCCAUUUAAAUUCUAUAUAUAUUUUAAAUGGUCCAAAUAUUCUGAAAUUAGUUGUUGUGCUCUGGAAUAAUUCAGUAUGUAUCCACAAAAGUUUUCAGAAUUUAUCAAAAUGAUUUAGUGCCAAAACUAAAUCAGAACAGAGAAAACAAAAUAGAAAAAUAAAACAGAAAAAGGCUUACCUGGCCUUACCUGGCGGCCCACCUAAGCUGGCCCAACCCACUGGUUCUGCCUGUCAUCCCCGACCUCGCGCCAGGAGGACAAGGGCGUGUAUCGAGAGCGCGCGGCCACGCGCCGGCCAACUCCACCCUGCCAGUUUCACCCCCGACAGCCUAGACGUCCCUGGAGAUGCCACGCAAACCCUGGCCUCUCUCCCACCCUCUCCCGUGCCUCCCCCCUCUGCUCUCUCUCUCCCCCGGAUCCGGACGCACCCGAGACCGCCGACGAGCACCGCCGCGGCCACAGCCGUCCCUGCGCCUUCCCGUACUAUCCCCGUCGUCCGCCUCGACGUCGUGAAGCUUCCCACUCAACAAGCGCAAGCCCGGAUGCCCUACACCGCCGACUACGCCAUCAUCCUCGUCCUCUGCAUCAGAAGACCGCCAUCGUCGAUUCGCCGUCUCCGCCACCUCCCCGUGCCAGCUGAGCUCCGCUUCGACCCCGCGAGGAGACUCUGGUCUCACUAGUAGUUCCACUUGGACUUAGACAAGUAGCUUGUAUCCCAGCUAUCUUGUACCCUUGGGAGGGUCUUGUAGAUAGUCAGGUUUCUCAGCCUUUUUCAUUUGUAGUUGUCUGUACUCAGACAAGAUAUGCUUCCGUUGCUUGUAUGCUCUGUAUGAAGGGUCAUGUGACCCGUUGCUUGUAAUAAAUGUUAUGUUGGCUCUUCUGGGCCUUUAUCUAUAUUAGUUGUUGAGUUAGGUUGUGA